GGAGAAAAAAACUAAAAAGGAUCCCCUAGUAACUGCGAGUGAAGCGGGAAAAGCUCAAAUUUAAAAUCUGAUGGUCUUUCGGUCAUCCGAGUUGUAAUUUAGAGAAGUGUCUUCCGCGCUGGACCGUGCACAAGUCUCCUGGAAUGGAGCCUCAUAGAGGGUGAGAAUCCCGUCUUUGGCACGGAUGCCCAGGGCUUCUGUGAUGCGCUCUCGAAGAGUCGAGUUGUUUGGGAAUGCAGCUCAAAAUGGGUGGUGAACUCCAUCUAAAGCUAAAUAUUGGCGAGAGACCGAUAGCGAACAAGUACCGUGAGGGAAAGAUGAAAAGCACUUUGGAAAGAGAGUGAAACAGUACGUGAAAUUGUUGAAAGGGAAACGCUUCAAGUCAGUCGCGUCGACCGAGACUCAGCCUUGCUUUGGCUUGGUGUAUUUCUCGGCCGACGGGUCAGCAUCGAUUUUGACCCUCGUAUAAUGGCAAGGGAAAGGUGGCGCCUUUUAUAGGCGUGUUAUAGUCUCCUGUCGGAUGCGAGGGGUCGGGAUCGAGGAACUCAGCACGCACCUCUCGGUGGUCGGGGCUUUGGCCCACGCUACGUGCUUAGGAUGCUGGCGUAAUGGCUUUAAACGACCCGUCUUGAAACACGGACCAAGGAGUCUAACAUGCCCGCGAGUGUUCGGGUGGAAAACCCGUGUGCGUAAUGAAAGU
rnacentral:rRNA from 1 species